GAUGAACGCUGGCGGCGUGCCUAAUACAUGCAAGUCGAGCGAACAGACGAGGAGCUUGCUCCUCUGACGUUAGCGGCGGACGGGUGAGUAACACGUGGAUAACCUACCUAUAGACUGGGAUAACUUCGGGAAACCGGAGCUAAUACCGGAUAAUAUAUUGAACCGCAUGGUUCAAUAGUGAAAGACGGUUUUGCUGUCACUUAUAGAUGGAUCCGCGCCGCAUUAGCUAGUUGGUAAGGUAACGGCUUACCAAGGCGACGAUGCGUAGCCGACCUGAGAGGGUGAUCGGCCACACUGGAACUGAGACACGGUCCAGACUCCUACGAGAGGCAGCAGUAGGGAAUCUUCCGCAAUGGGCGAAAGCCUGACGGAGCAACGCCGCGUGAGUGAUGAAGGUCUUCGGAUCGUAAAACUCUGUUAUUAGGGAAGAACAAAUGUGUAAGUAACUAUGCACGUCUUGACGGUACCGAAUCAGAAAGCCACGGCUAACUACGUG
rnacentral:rRNA from 1 species